CCAGCAGCCGCGGUAAUUCCAGCUCCAAUAGCGUAUAUUAAAGUUGUUGCAGUUAAAACGCUCGUAGUCUGAUGUAAUGGGGACUGGUGUGGGGAGCAGCAAUGCUCUUUGCUUCGGUCCUCAUCAACGGGACAGCAAUGUCCCAUUUUACUUUGAGGAAAUUAGAGUGUUCAAAGCAGGCGAUUGCUUGAAUACUGCAGCAUGGAAUAAUGGAAUAGGACUCGCGUCUUAUUUUGUUGGUUUGGAGAUGUGAGUAAUGAUGAAUAGGGACAGUUGGGGGCAUUGGUAUUCAGUAGUCAGAGGUGAAAUUCUUGGAUUUGUUGGAGACGAACGACUGCGAAAGCAUUUGCCAAGGAUGUUUUCAUU
rnacentral:rRNA from 1 species